GCCCCCGGUCCCUGUAUAUA
rnacentral:miRNA from 1 species